rnacentral:rRNA from 1 species
AACGAACGCUGGCGGCAGGCCUAACACAUGCAAGUCGAGCGGACAUCUUCGGAUGUUAGCGGCGGACGGGUGAGUAACGCGUGGGAACGUGCCCUUUGCUUCGGAAUAGCCUCGGGAAACUGGGAGUAAUACCGGAUGUACCCUUUGGGGGAAAGAUUUAUCGGCAAAGGAUCGGCCCGCGUUGGAUUAGGUAGUUGGUGGGGUAAUGGCCUACCAAGCCGACGAUCCAUAGCUGGUCUGAGAGGAUGAUCAGCCACACUGGGACUGAGACACGGCCCAGACUCCUACGGGAGGCAGCAGUAGGGAAUCUUAGACAAUGGGGGAAACCCUGAUCUAGCCAUGCCGCGUGAGCGAUGAAGGCCUUAGGGUUGUAAAGCUCUUUCACCGGGGAAGAUAAUGACGGUACCCGGAGAAGAAGCCCCGGCUAACUCCGUG